UGUUCAAACAACUUUAAAAAAAAGUUUUUUUUGCGGGGGCCUCUCAUUUACAAUUAUGUCAGCAAUUAUCAGCUGAAUAGAGAGCAUUCAUGAGUGGAAAAUAUUGAUACUAAAAUGGUGUAGGGGUUUGUUUGCAUUAUAAAAUCUUUAAUAACUUCUUUCAAGUAAAUUUUUGGUAUGGGUUUGGUAAGCUUACAAUAAAGAGCAUGCCAUUCUCUUCCACAGUUUUUCAAGCGUUUUAGACUCUUGGCUAGUUUUGGAAUCUGACUUUAUUAAAAGACAAAAGGAAGUUCAGUAUAGGCUCUUUCAAAGUGUUGAAAGUAGAUUAAACUUACACUAUACUCUAUUGAAUUUAUAUAGCUGUGGAAACUCUUGAAGAUAUAGACUAUAGCUGGGGAAAUCCUAAAAUCGUUGAAAAACGGUCAAUACAAGAGUUGUCCAUUUUGCUUCAGAUAUUUUGAAAAAGUCAUUUUUUAAAUAUCAAAUAUUUCUAUUUUCACACGGAGAAGGGGAAAACCAUAAAUAUAUUUAGAAAAUUGGUGCACUUAGCUAUCAUUUCACUCUGAAAAAAAAAUCUGUAAAGAUGAAUUUGAAUUUUUAGGUACCAUCUCUACAGUAAGUAUACACUAAAUGUCCAUGCAGCAUAAAAAUAAUUGUUAAAGGUUUUCAUUCACUUGCAUGUACACGGCGACAAACCCGCGUGACUUAUUAGCUAAGGUUGCGAGUAAAAUCGAACAAAAACUGGCUCGAUUCAGGUUACAUUUUCGUCGUUCAUUUUCUUAAUACUCGAUGGAUUUUCACAAACCAAAGACAAACACCUGUUCCAUACAAAGAUGCACCCUCGACAGCCGGAAAUAUCAAGGGGAAUGCUGAGUUUAGAAAACUAAAAAAGUGAUUUUCUGAAUGGAAUUUCCCGUGGUAUGGUUGGGAGUAUUUUCAGGAAAAAUGCGUAAAUAUGCAACCUCUUAUCACUAGCAACUUGAAUAGCACAUAGUUUUCUUAUUAUAUCAUAGUUAUGGCCAAAACCAAAAUAUUAAAAUAAAUGCUAGACUCGUUUCUGAAAAAAAACACAACCUUGCUAUGGUUCAGAGCAUUUUCAGAGUGCUAUGGACGAGAGCAACCAGAACUUGUGUGUCGUUAAAUCAGACUAUUUUUGUGAUUGAAACUUCCAUUUGAGAUGCGUUUGUCACUAAUUUAACUUGUGUCAGCAUAUUUCAUUACCGGACUGAGUCUCAGUGCAAAGCCAGAGUUGGUCUGAUUAAGGUUGAACCUACAUUCGUAAUGGUAUAAUUAUGUUUACUUCUAUUAAAACUGAUCAAAAGUAUAUGAUAAGUCUAUUUCUAAUUUCAUUCUGCCAUACAGUCAGUCCUACAUUAUCGUGAAGCUUGCUGCUAGCAGAGAAACCCCUAUUUGGUAAAACUAAAUAUUUCAAACGUAGGGAGCUAUCUGCUACCGAGUCUCAUUCAUAUUUUAAUGUCAUAUGUUCAAGAAAUAAAUACACUGGAGAAAUUCUUUAGGGGACCUUUAACAGCCUAAAAUCAACCUCAUAACACAUGCUUUAUAUAGUGAAAUUAAUUCAGAACUUAAAAGUAAAUUAUCAUGAAUUUCAAAAGGCAUCUCCUGUUAUAGAUUGCUAACAGGGAACUUUGUAAAGUAAUACUUCUUCACAUGUUCAAAUAAUAAAUUCUCCUUUCUAAUUUCAGUCUAGCAUAGUACUUUCGUAUUAUCGAGCAUUAUGCUAGCAGAGAAAACCAAAUUCAAGUGAUGACUCUUUCGAUAUCAAAGCAAGUGCGAGGGUCAAAGGUAAACCGAAGGAGGAAAAGAUCUCCAAAAGUAGAAAUGUUUUACUCAGAGGAUCACUAGGUGUUCGGUGCGGUGGAGGAAAAGCACAAAGAAACGACAAUAAACUUCUUCCAACUAUUUGAAUGGGCAUAUCGGAGAACUAAAUCUACUGAAACCUUGUUCAUAACUUAACAAAAUAUUCUUAAAUACACUUCCAACUCCGCAUGCAGAUGUCUCCAGAAUAAAACGCCAGAUUUACUGUAAGAGUCUAUAUUUUGAAUAAAUGUUUGUUUUAUCA